rnacentral:rRNA from 1 species
UGGGGAAUAUUGCACAAUGGGGGAAACCCUGAUGCAGCGACGCCGCGUGGAGGAAGAAGGUCUUCGGAUUGUAAACUCCUGUUGUUGAGGAAGAUAAUGACGGUACUCAACAAGGAAGUGACGGCUAACUACGUGCCAGCAGCCGCGGUAAAACGUAGGUCACAAGCGUUGUCCGGAAUUACUGGGUGUAAAGGGAGCGCAGGCGGGCGAUCAAGUUGGAAGUGAAAUCCAUGGGCUCAACCCAUGAACUGCUUUCAAAACUGAUUGUCUUGAGUAGUGCAGAGGUAGGCGGAAUUCCCGGUGUAGCGGUGGAAUGCGUAGAUAUCGGGAGGAACACCAGUGGCGAAGGCGGCCUACUGGGCACCAACUGACGCUGAGGCUCGAAAGUGUGGGUAGCAAACAGGAUUAGAUACCCUGGUAGUCCACACCGUAAACGAUGAUUACUAGGUGUUGGAGGAUUGACCCCUUCAGUGCCGCAGUUAACACAAUAAGUAAUCCACCUGGGGAGUACGACCGCAAGGUUGAAACUCAAAGGAAUUGACGGGGGCCCGCACAAGCAGUGGAGUAUGUGGUUUAAUUCGACGCAACGCGAAGAACCUUACCAAGUCUUGACAUCCUGCGACGAUGCUAGAAAUAGUGUUUUCCUUCGGGACGCAGAGACAGGUGGUGCAUGGUUGUCGUCAGCUCGUGUCGUGAGAUGUUGGGUUAAGUCCCGCAACGAGCGCAACCCUUAUGGUCAGUUACUACGCAAGAGGACUCUGGCCAGACUGCCGUUGACAAAACGGAGGAAGGUGGGGAUGACGUCAAAUCAUCAUGCCCUUUAUGACUUGGGCUACACACGUACUACAAUGGCGUUAAACAAAGAGAAGCAAGACCGCGAGGUGGAGCAAAACUCAGAAACAACGUCCCAGUUCGGACUGCAGGCUGUAACUCGCCUGCACGAAGUCGGAAUUGCUAGUAAUCGCAGAUCAGCAUGCUGCGGUGAAUACGUUCCC